CCCACUCCUACGGGAGGCAGCAGUAGGGAAUCUUCGGCAAUGGACGAAAGUCUGACCGAGCACCGCCGCGUGAGUGAAGAAGGUUUUCGGAUCGUAAAACUCUGUUGUUAGAGAAGAAUGUUGAUUAGAGUGAAAAUACUCAAGGACGGUUCUACA
rnacentral:rRNA from 1 species